AGCUGGACAGAGUUCCUGUGUAUUCGGCACUCCCUUUCACCUAUUUAUUAACGUUUUACAUGUGUAUAAUACUUUUGUUAGAAUUAACGAACCAAUACUGAUAUAUUAUUCUUAACUAAAGUCAUUAUUCAGAUUUCCUUAAUUUUUACCUAACGCCCUUUUUCUCUUCCAGGAUGCCACAUUCCACCUACUCUUCAUGUCUCCUUAGGCUCCUCUUGGCUGUGACAAUUUCUCAUACAGGUGACAGUUUUAAUUUUAACCUUUAAUUUUAAUACCGUCAAGAAUUACCAAGUACCUACUAUUUGCUGUGCAGUGAUACUGGAACUGGAAGAGUCAAGAUAAUAACUGGACCUGUCUUCACAGCAAGAGAGACAAAAAGAGAGCCCCACCACCACUAUUUGGGUUCAAUCAGGACGUUAUCAUCUCUUGCCUGAGCUACUGCCACAUUGUCUCAACUGGCUUUUGGCCCUGGUCUGGAUCUUCCUUCUUCAAUCCAGUUUCCAUCUGAUUUACUACAGUGAUUAGCACAUAGCAAGCAGGCAGACACUUGAGGAGGAGACCAAAGAAUUCCCUUUUACAUUAUUGUUAGAAGAAACUCCCAGAGGCCUAAAGAGGAGAAGAAGGAAGAGAUGAGCAGCCUUAUGGCAGCUGUGCACCCACAAACAGCCUGGGGAAGGGAAGUGAAGAAUUAACUCAGAAAAGCAGUCAAGAUUUAACUAGGCCCAGCUGUGGAGAUGCUCAUGGGUGGAGAAAAAAGGAAGAAACCUCACCUGUAACUGGGUGGUAUUUGUUGGGAGAAGACGAGAGGAAGAAAUUGAUAUGAGUGUCAAGAAUAUAUGGGAAUGUGUGAGGGAGCCCAUAUGAAAAAUUAUAAGAUGAGUACAUGAAAUGGUAAUUGGUUGAGAGUAUAAAAGCUCUUGAUAGGAAUAAUUACAUUAAGGAGCUGACAGCUACAUUCCAUCAUCUGCUAGAAGUAGGUUGGCUGCUAUUGUGCUUACAUCCAGGUAAAACAGUGCCACGAGUUGGCUAAUUGAAGAGGGCUAGAAAUCCAUGGAAACCUCAUUUUGGGUUCAUCUCUACUCAGCCUGUGUAUGAGAGAAGGGAAUGAGCAAGAGUAAGAGCUUUCAAUAAGCACCGCUUUAUUUAUAAUGCUGGUCCUGGCAAUUCACAGGAAGCAGUACGAGUCCAUCAAUACUGGUCUACCGAAGGACUAAGCCAGGCAGGAAAAUAGAUUUUGUACUGAGUACCAACACUUGUUAAAUAGCAAGGGUGUGAUUUACAGAACAGGCUCUGUCCUACAGGAACUGUGCAUUGACCAGUAGAGAAGAUCUCCUGGAGCAAGAACAUUUACUUAAAUCUCUUAAGUCAUGGAGCCACCCCUUUCUACUUAAAGGCAUAUUUCAUCUCUUCUUUUGGGCCAAGGGAGAAGAGAAAGUAAAAAGAAGGUAAGGUUACUACCUUAUUAAAUAUCUAAUGAUAGUAAUAAUUACAUUAAGAGCUAACAUAUUAAGUACUCACUGUUUAGAGCACUGGUCUCAGUGCUUUUUUUGGUAUUAUUUUAUUUAUUUGUUUCAACAAUUGUGGGGUAGGUACAAUUUGCUGUUACCAGGACACACCUCCUUACAAGGCAAUGGAAGAUCACGAUUAUGGGAUUCCAGCUGGUCACACUGCUUCUGUGGAUAGUUGGGUGAUCUAAGGAAGACUGCAUUACUUGAAGCCUCAGUGUACUCAUCUCUAAAUUGUAGAUAUAAUAGCUAUCUUGAAAAGUUGUAUAGGAUUAGAGAUAAUAUUAUGUAAAGGGUCUGACAUGGUGACUAGCAUGGAAAAAGUGCAGGAUAAAAGGGAAUUUAUGUCAGGUCCUCUCUAAACUCUUUUCUGGUCUCAUACCUUCAAGUUAAAGUCAGAAUAAAAUUAAUUAUUACUA